CAACGGUGAAACUCAAAGGAAUUGACGGGGGCCCGCACAAGCGGAGGAACAUGUGGUUUAAUUCGAUGAUACACGAGGAACCUUACCCGGGCUUGAAUUGCAAAUGAACGGCGUGGAGACAUGCCGGCCGCAAGGCAUUUGUGAAGGUGCUGCAUGGUUGUCGUCAGCUCGUGCCGUGAGGUGUCGGCUUAAGUGCCAUAACGAGCGCAACCCUUACCGAUAGUUACCAUCAGGUGGUGCUGGGGACUCUGUCGGGACUGCCGUCGUAAGAUGCGAGGAAGGCGGGGAUGACGUCAAAUCAGCACGGCCCUUACGUCCGGGGCUACACACGUGUUACAAUGGGGGGUACAGAAGGCAGCUACACGGCGACGUGAGGCUAAUCCCUAAAUCCUCUCUCAGUUCGGAUUGGAGUCUGCAACCCGACUCCAUGAAGCUGGAUUCGCUAGUAAUCGCGCAUCAGCCACGGCGCGGUGAAUACGUUCCCGGGCCUUGUACACACCGCCCGCCAAGCCAUGAAAG
rnacentral:rRNA from 1 species